GGGGCCUUAGCUCAGCUGGGAGAGCGCCUGCCUUGCACGCAGGAGGUCAGCGGU
rnacentral:tRNA from 1 species